rnacentral:tRNA from 1 species
GGUCCGCUGGCGUAAUGGCAGCGCGUCUGACUACGAUAUCUAUCGGAUGAUCUCGCUUCAGAUAUUAUCUGAGAAUCGAGUAAUCAGGAGGUUCCAGGUUCGACCCCUGGGCGGAUCG